GCUACCGCCGGGCCACCAGCUGGGUGCUGCUCAUGAAGAUCUUCAGGAGGCUCUUCGUCAUCGAGAAGACCGUCUCGUCGGCGUCCGGCCGCCAUGGCCAUGCGGUGGCUCGCCGCUGACGUCAUCAUCCAUCUAUUCGUACGACUCUUGCACGGUUAAUUAAUUCCCUGACAUUAAGAAGCAUAAUUAGCUUCUUACUGCUGAUUAAUUAAACUGCAAGUAGUAAAUUAUAGGCACACGAAUUGCUCUUGAUGAUAACGCCAUGUGUAGAUAGGGUUUAUUCAGCAGGUACAAGGGGAUGGAUCAUGGAGAGAGUUAAGCAUCACUUCAAUUUUGAAAUCUUCACUUUCCAUCGUAGUUUAUUUGAAUUAGCAAUAUUUCUUCUUUGUUUGCUAUGGAAUUAUCAUGUUUCAAAAAAAAGUUCAAGCAAGCUGAAUAAGGGCACUGCUACAUUAUGCAUACAUAUUCUUAUUUAGGCUUGUUUGGACGAAUUGGAGAUUCUGAGAAUCAACCCGUGAGAAUCUAGAAACACAGCUUAUGACUGCUAGUUCAUUUUCGGGAUUCUGUAUCCACUGAGACUCGAAAUCUCGAUUGAUUGGAAUAAUUGAGAAUUUCCGAGAAUAGUUGCAGUUGUCAGAAUAAUGUGCAUAUGCGUUAAGAAGCACCACUUCUUUAAAUUCUCAUGCAAAUGGUGCAAAUGGUGGGUGAAUUGCAAUUAAUUCUUCUAGCUUGGUACUGUCAUUGCUAAUGGCACCCACUUCAUUUUCGAAACCUUCAAUGGUACUAAUAGCUUGUAUAAUUUUCAUGUAAUCUGCAUUAACAUAAUCAGAAGAGUCAAGACCUACCCAUAGAUUCCUUUCAUCUCCAUUGGUCACAAGAUGCUGU
rnacentral:lncRNA from 1 species